GACGAACCGUGCGAACGUUGUUCGGAUUCACUGGGCUUAAAGGGCGCGUAGGCGGGCCAUCAAGUCAGGGGUGAAAUCUUUCGGCUCAACCGGAAAAGUGCCUUUGAUACUGGUGGCCUCGAGGGAGGUAGGGGCAUGCGGAACUUCCGGUGGAGCGGUGAAAUGCGUAGAUAUCGGAAGGAACAUCAGUGGCGAAGGCGGCUUCCUGGACCAAUACUGACGAUCAGGUGCGAAAGCGUGGGGAGCAAACAGG
rnacentral:rRNA from 1 species